CCCACCGGGUUGCUAUGCAGGCUAAUGUUAAAUUAAAAGAAAGACGAAGCAGAAGAAGAAGCAAGCAAGCACCCAAUUAGGUAGACAAGAACUAACUUUUGCCCGGAAAAGGAUUUCAAAUGUAGAUCUUCCGAGAGGAGCCUACGAGCGAGUAAUUUUAUGAUUAAGGGAACAAAGAAAAAAGACAAGAAAAAAGUAAACAACUGAUAACCAAGGUAUACUUUGCUAUGCUUUUGAAGCUUUUCUUCUAAAUUUGUGUUCUAUAUGGUAAGAUAAAAAUGAAAUGCUAUUUUGUAUUAAUUGAGAAAGUGUUUUUAACCCUUUCUUCCACAUCAAAUGUAUCCAUAACUACAAUAUUUCCCCGAUAUCCACAUGUUACUACAUUAAUACGUUUACUACGUUUACUGCGGUUUUCGAUAUUCUACGAACUCAUUAGUUGCAAGCUGCACGCUGAAACUAGUUUUUUCACUGCCGUCAAUCAAAAAUAAUCCGUCGGUACCUUUUAUGUUAUUGACUGGCRGCAGUAAAAGGGCUCAAAAUUAGCGAUUUGUUAUCUUUCAUGGUUAUCUUUAAGAUGAAAUCUAGAAUUUCACUAUUACUUUGGUAUUGUUUAGUGUGUAAAAGAAGAAAACCCAUGCACAGCGCUUUUAAUAUUUUUGUGCAGCCCAAGAGCUCGAUGGACUUUUGAAAAAAAACUGACGAACACCUCCCCGUAAUACUUUUAGAUGGAUCCUCCUCCUCCAAGAGGUACAAUAUUAAAUAAAAUGCGGUGAUAAUAGACUACUGUGGUGGCGAAGGAUAUAUCUUGGAAAGCCGGCGCAGCGCACUUUACGCCCUCUUUCCAUAGGUGAUUCUUCUGUUACCCAAUAUGGCUGUCGUGAAACUUUUCUAUAGAUCUAAAAAAGUCAGAUGUGCCAGCCUCCUUUCAAUAGUAGAAUAUCAUUCAAAGGGGGGAACUAAGUAACCAAGUGACCCAAGAGGAUAACCCUCCCCUCCCCUCCCUUCUCCGUCAAUUUUUUCUUUCGAACCCUGAAACAAACUCUGGGCUGAACAAARCCAGUACAUGUCCGACUCACAGAUCAAACCCUGAAAUAACCUCUGAGCUGAUUCACGGAUUAAAUUCGAAUUUCCCUCGUUAGGUUUAGCAGAUGGAGAAAAAUCCUCAAAUCAAGGAAGAAACCUAACAAACUCUACUCACGUUUCAUUAUGAUUUAAAGCUGUAAAUUGAUUAAAUUUUGUAAAUUUYACUAGAAGUCAGAGACGACUUUGAAUCAUAAUAAAUMAUGAAUCCUGACUGCAA